rnacentral:rRNA from 1 species
AUACGGAGGGUGCAAGCGUUAAUCGGAAUUACUGGGCGUAAAGCGUGCGUAGGUGGUUUGUUAAGUCAGAUGUGAAAGCCCCGGGCUCAACCUGGGAACUGCAUUUGAAACUGGCAUACUAGAGUAUAGGAGAGGAAAGUGGAAUUUCAGGUGUAGCGGUGAAAUGCGUAGAUAUCAGAAGGAACAUCAAUGGCGAAGGCAGCUUUCUGGACUAAUACUGACACUCAGGUACGAAAGCGUGGGUAGCAAACAGGAUUAGAAACCCUAGUAGUCC